GGGUGCAAUUUGGAGUGGGAGCAUGAGGGCACUUACCAUGUGCGAUAAGAAAACAAGCAUCCCACAUACAUCAGAGCUGUGAUCCAGAUGUGCGGUAUUCCAAGGCAGAUGUUAUACCUGUGUUUACAAUUUCCAGGGAAAACCAAGGGACCAUUGCAAGAAGCUCACUUUCUUUGUAAGAACACCCUUUUCUAAUGAAGGGCACCUGUGGACAAGGGUGCUGCUGGUAAACAGCGAAAGGAUGGAAUUCAAUGGAAUAUUGCCAAUGAAUUAAGCAAGACCCCUUUUCCCUUGUGGGUGGCUGUGCAUCUGUGGCCAAAAAGAGUUUGUCUCUGGUUAGCCACUUUCUGCUUAGAGUCAUUUCCUUCCUCUCCAACACAGGCAUCACUUCCCUUCUGUUGAAUGACUUCUGGCCUUCUCCCUCUCCAUUAUGGAGACCACCAAAGUGCUACUGGUUUGCUUUCUGAUCCUGGCUUUUCUUGGGAUUGAGCUCUUGGUAUCUGGCGGUCCAGGAGAUUCUUUUCUCUUGUAGGUGCAAGCAUGGAACCCAUACUGACCCAGUUUAUGCCAUCCAACACUAAGAGAAGUGGUAACACCGCCUUUCUGGUAUGCCGAGUGAAUGUGACUUCUUUUGGGUCCGCUUACAUUCACUGGUACCGCCAGAAGCCCGGUGGGCAUCUGGAACGGAUUCUCUAUCUUUCAUCCAAUGACAAUGUCAUUCAUGAAGAUGGGGUCAGUGAGGAGAGGUAUGAGGCCAAGAAACGGGAGAGCGACUUGUCAGCAAGCCUCAGAAUCCACCAAGUCACAGAGGCAGAUGCGGGGCUGUACUAUUGUGCCUGCUGGGAUGGCACUAUGAGUCAAACCCACAGAGACACUGAACAAGAACUCUCACACUGCAUAUUCAUGCACCUGGGGAAUCCUCAGUGUCUGCCCCAGGUCCCACAUCUAGAUACCACCAAUGGCGGCUGCUGCGUGUCAGCACAGGAAAUCUUGCUGCUGUCUCUGCUCUGCUCAAUGCUAGGACGGGGAGUCUCAGACCUGGCUCUGGGUCUCUUGGUCCAACUGUGAGAUUUUCUUUAUCUUCCUUCCUCUUCUCCCACAGCUGUUCAGGUCCUUGGGAAGUGUCUCUGCUCCAACUCAGGCUCACCAACCAGAGGAAGCAUCUACCAGUGGAUGACAGGGUCACAUCACUCAACCAAAUCCCACAAAAAGUCAUUAGUUGGGCCUUGGAUGGUGCCUUGGAGGUGAAAAUUAUCUGUUUUAAAAUUAGU